UGGAAAGAUUGAGUAAGCUUGCAACUUUUCAGAGAAAGGCUCUUUAGCAUGCUUUAUUUUUUCCAGCUCUUGAAAGAAUUGUCUAUAGUACAUGUUCAAUUAACCAAAUUGAGAAUGAGGAUGUGAUCAAAUCUGUUCUUUCCAUUGCCGAAUCAUACGGAUUUCAAUUGGCCAAGCCCUUCCCCGAGUGGCAGUGCCGUGGUCUUCCGGUGUUUGAAGGCUCUGAAUGCCUGAUUCGGACAGAUCCUGCUACGCAUGGCGAGAGUUUCUUCAUUGCUUUGUUUGUUAGGAAAGAUGCAUCUUGGGAUUGUUCAAAUAAAAACGAAACUAGAAUUUUACGUAGCACUCCCGGAAUUAAAAACGCGCAAGGAAAGAAGAAACGUAUGCCGAUUAUUAGCACGAACCCAUUCAAAAUGUGGUUAUAUGAUCAACUGAUGUAGCUUCCGAAAUGGGAGGGUAUAAGGAGGUGACCAAGAUAAAAUUAGAGGUGUAAAAU
rnacentral:sRNA from 1 species